rnacentral:miRNA from 1 species
AGGAUUCCCAAUUAAAUUUGAAUUUCAAAUAAACAACAAUAGUGGUUGUUUUUUAAGCAUAAGUAUGUUUCAUGCAAUAUUUGGUACAUACUUAUCCUAAAAAAUAAUUAUUGCUUAUCUGAAAUUCAAAUUUUACUGGGCAUCCUGUA